rnacentral:lncRNA from 1 species
GAGAGAAAUGAAAGAAGGUGUGGUGGAAGAGGAGGACAUAAAGAAUUUGAUGUGGGGGCUUAAAUAGGGAUAGGACCCCCCAAUAGCCUCUACCACAUGUUUGUCCUUACUAAUAACCUCACCCUGCCAUUUUUCACCUGCUCUUUGCUUCUUUUCCACGUCUUGGCAUGGUUCAGACAGACCAAGAUUGAUGGAUUCUGAAAUUAUAACUAUAGCAUUCAUUCAGAGGAACAACAACUUCAGAAACCCAUACUCACUUUUCUCUCACACCC